CCCUAUGCUCUCACUGAUAGACACGCUUUCACGCACUCUCACACUUCCUCCUCAAAAGUAACGAUUCCCUCAUUUCCCCUCAAACAAACUAAAAAAUGUCUAAACUUCCGAUGGAUAUAAUCACCGACGUUUUCUAUCGCCUCCCGGUGAAGACUCUAUUACGUUUCAAGUCCUUGUCUAAAUCGUGUUGCUCUUUGAUCGACGACCCUGAUUUCAUCGAAGCCCACUUGAAUCGUUCCGUCCAAACCGGAUCAAAUCUCAACAUCAUCCUCAAAGGUUUGCAUCUCUAUUCCGUUGAAUUUGACACCUUAGAUGUCGCCGUCCCACUCGACUGUCCUUUGAGUAUCGGAGCUUGUACGGAAGCCUUUGGUUCUUGUAACGGACUGCUUGCAAUCCAUAUGUCCGAUAAAAAUGUUGCCUUGUACAACCCUUCAACGAGACAGUUCCGUAGUCUGCCUGUGUCAGAGAUUGAUCCUCCCCAACGUGAAUCUUGUAGACCCGGGUAUGUUUUUUUUGGGUUCGGACAGGAUAUUAGAACUAACGAUCACAAAUUGGUGAGAAUGACACAGUUUAACAAAACUGCCGAUGAAGAUGAUGAAGGGCACACGUUUGAUUACGAGGUUAAGGUUUAUAGCUUGAAGACUGAUUCUUGGAGAAAAAUAACCAAGCUUCCGUUUUAUCUUCGAUUUAUGUUUCAAUUUUUUUACCAUCUUUUGCAUAGGCGAGGCUAUGGCGUGCUUGCUGCUGGGGUUUUACACUGGGUGAUGCCUCCAAGAAUGGAGUUGGGAAUUACCAGAAAUAAGAUUAUUGGUUUCGACCUUGGAACCGAGGACUUCACUGAAGUGCCUCAGCCUGAAUGUGCUGAUAAGGGAUAUCUCUUGGAUGUGGGUGUGCUGGAGGGAUGCCUAUGUGCUGUUUGUAAUUAUGACCAAGUCAAAGUUGAUGUCUGGGUGAUGAAGGAAUAUGGAAUGAAAGAAUCUUGGACCAGGUUGCUUUCUCUUCAAAAAACUAGAGCUGUUAACCCUUUAACGUUUUCAAAGCCAUUAGCAUAUAGCAAGUACCGUGAUAAGGUUCUGCUAGAGGUUAACAAUCAAAAGUUUGUUUGGUAUGAUUUACAAAAGAAGAAGAUGCGUAGUGUGAAAAUUGGUGGUAGUCUAGGUAAAUUCGGUGCAGAAGUUUAUGUAGGAAGCUUGAUUCCGGUAGAAGAUCAGAAAAGAACGGAAUAUCAGAAGCGAAACCAACAAGAGGAACUGAGUCUGAGGAAAGGAAAUAGAAAGAAGAGGGAUGAUUUCCUUUCACAAGGAUUCAAAUUGGUUUUAUAGUCAGAAGUGAUGAAAAUGUACAUGAUAUGGACCUCGCCCGUGGAAUGCUAAAUAACUUAUAGAGGGCAUAGAAGCUUGCAUGUUCCCUUUGUCUUGAAGGAUUGGCUUGAGAGGGUCAUAUCAAGCUGACAUAUGAAUUGCUUCUUGGUUGAAGAUAAUUCUUUCAUUUGAAGAAUCGUAGUAUGUUUUGAAGCACUGCAUUCUUUUACUUUCUUUUACAGGGGCCAGAUUGUGUGUCCAUAUAUCGACCUUGUGAGAAGAAACAUCGAAGAACAUGAUUUACAAAGAGGAAGCUUUUGGAUUGGAUUGUUGUGGCAGAUUUAUUUCAUAUAAAUGGAGUGUCGAAAUUCUUGAGGUAAGGUGUUUUUUUCUGCGGUGUUUACGCCGAAGCAAGGGUUGGAAGAGUACCAUUUCACAAGGGUUGAGAAAGAGAUUAUAGCUUGAAGUAGAA